GCCAGGCAUGGUGGCGCACGCCUGUCAUCCCCACAGCUCGGGAGGCUGAGGCAGGAGGAUCACAAGUUCAAAGCCAGCCUCAGCAACAGUGAGGUGCUAAGCAACUCAGUGAGACCCUGUUUCUA
rnacentral:sRNA from 1 species